rnacentral:tRNA from 1 species
AUUUAAGUAGUUUAAAAAAAAACAUUAAUUUGUGGAAUUAAAAAUAUAAAAUUUAUCUUAAAUA